GCCUGGGUGGCUCAGUCGGUGAAGCAUCUGACUUCGGCUCAGGUCAUGAUCUCACAGUUCAUGAGUUCGAGCCCCAUGUCGGGCU
rnacentral:tRNA from 1 species